UACGUAGGGACCAAGCGUUGUUCGGAUUUACUGGGCGUAAAGGGCGCGUAGGCGGCGCGGUAAGUCACUUGUGAAAUCUCUGAGCUUAACUCAGAACGGCCAAGUGAUACUGCAGUGCUAGAGUGUGGAAGGGGCAAUCGGAAUUCUUGGUGUAGCGGUGAAAUGCGUAGAUAUCUAGAGGAACACCUGAGGUGAAGACGGGUUGCUGGGCUAACACUGACGCUGAUGCGCGAAAGCCAGGGGAGCAAACGGG
rnacentral:rRNA from 1 species